rnacentral:rRNA from 1 species
AUACGGAGGAUCCGAGCGUUAUCCGGAUUUAUUGGGUUUAAAGGGUGCGCAGGCGGCCAUUUAAGUCAGCGGUUAAAUCGUGGGGCUCAACCCCAUUCUGCCGUUGAUACUGGGUGGCUUGAUUGCGGUCGAGGUUGGCGGAAUUCGUUGUGUAGCGGUGAAAUGCAUAGAUAUGACGAAGAACACCGAUUGCGUAGGCAGCUGACCAGAUCGCAAAUGACGCUCAUGCACGAAAGUGCGGGGAUCGAACAGGAUUAGAUACCCUGGUAGUCCGCACAGUAAACGAUGAAUACUUGUUUUCGGCGAUAUAAUGUCGGAGGCAAAGCGAAAGCGAUAAGUAUUCCGCCUGGGGAGUACGCCGGCAACGGUGAAACUCAAAUGAAUUGACGGGG